rnacentral:lncRNA from 1 species
AGCAACCUCACAACCCAACUUUCCCAACCCCUUAUACAACCAACAAAGAAUUUUUCUACUCAAAAAUCUCACUUGUAAGCUUGUAUUUUGUGUUGGCAAAAGUCUCUUGUCUUCUUGUGCUUUGGGGUUUUUAUAGAAGGUGAGAAAUGGCUCCAAAAGGCUCUCCAACGGUCAAAUAUUAAAUGCUGUCAAAACUAGC